rnacentral:rRNA from 1 species
ACCUACGGGGGGCAGCAGUAGGGAAUUUUCGUCAAUGGGCGCAAGCCUGAACGAGCAAUGCCGCGUGAACGAGGAAGGUCUUCGGAUCGUAAAGUUCUGUUGUAGGGGAAAAAGAGCGGAGAGAGGAAAUGGUCUCCGAUUGAUAUUACCCUUCGAGGAAGUCACGGCUAACUACGUGCCAGCAGCCGCGGUAAUACGCAGGUGGCGAGCGUUAUCCGGAAUGAUUGGGCGUAAAGGGUGCGUAGGCGGCCUGCUAAGUCUGGAGUGAAAGGUACCGGCUCAACCGGUACAGGCUCUGGAAACUG